rnacentral:rRNA from 1 species
UUGAUCCUGGCUCAGGAUGAACGCUAGCGGCAGGCUUAACACAUGCAAGUCGAGGGGCAGCACGGGUAGCAAUACUUGGUGGCGACCGGCGCAAGGGUGCGUAACGCGUUACCUGUAACAGAGGGAUAGCCCAUAGAAAUGUGGAUUAAUAUCUCAUAGUUCUAUUAGAUCGCAUGAUUUGAUAGAUAAAGCUCCGGCGGUUACAGAUGGGCAUGCGUGACAUUAGCUAGUUGGUAAGGUAACGGCUUACCAUGGCUACGAUGUCUAGGGGUUCUGAGAGGAAGAUCCCCCACACUGGAACUGAGACACGGUCCAGACUCCUACGGGAGGCAGCAGUGAGGAAUAUUGGACAAUGGAUGGAAAUCUGAUCCAGCCAUGCCGCGUGCAGGAAGACGGCCCUAUGGGUUGUAAACUGCUUUUAUACGGGAGCAAUAAGGUCUAUGCGUAGGCCGAUGAGAGUACCGUAGGAAUAAGCACCGGCUAACUCCGUGCCAGCAGCCGCGGUAAUACGGAGGGUGCAAGCGUUAUCCGGAUUUAUUGGGUUUAAAGGGUGCGUAGGCGGUCUAUUAAGUCAGCGGUGAAAGUUUUCAGCUUAACUGGAAAAAUGCCGUUGAUACUGAUAGGCUAGAAUAUGGUUGCUGUGGGUGGAAUGUGUGGUGUAGCGGUGAAAUGCUUAGAUAUCACACAGAAUAUCAAUUGCGAAGGCAGCUUACUAAACUGAUACUGACGCUGAGGCACGAAAGUGUGGGGAUCAAACAGGAUUAGAUACCCUGGUAGUCCACACCGUAAACGAUGAUAACUCGCUGUCGGCGAUACAUUGCCAGUGACUGAGCGAAAGCAUUAAGUAAUCCACCUGGGGAGUACGUUCGCAAGAAUGAAACUCAAAGGAAUUGACGGGGGCCCGCACAAGCGGAGGAACAUGUGGUUUAAUUCGAUGAUACGCGAGGAACCUUACCUGGGCUUAAAUGUAGAGCGACAGAUUGUGAAAGCCUGAUUCCCUUCUGGGCUGCUUACAAGGUGCUGCAUGGUUGUCGUCAGCUCGUGCCGUGAGGUGUCGGGUUAAGUCCCAUAACGAGCGCAACCCUUAUCGUUAGUUGCCAGCGGAUCAUGCCGGGGACUCUAGCGAGACUGCCACCGUAAGGUGUGAGGAAGGUGGGGAUGACGUCAAAUCAGCACGGCCCUUAUGUCCAGGGCGACACACGUGCUACAAUGGCCGAUACAAAGGGCAGCUACCAGGUGACUGGAUGCGAAUCUCUAAAGCCGGUCUCAGUUCGGAUCGGAGUCUGCAACUCGACUCCGUGAAGUCGGAUUCGCUAGUAAUCGCGCAUCAGCCAUGGCGCGGUGAAUACGUUCCCGGGCCUUGUACACACCGCCCGUCAAGCCAUGGAAGUUGGGGGUGCCUAAAGUUCGUGACCGCAAGGAGCGACCUAGGGUAAAACCAAUGACUGGGGCUAAGUCGUAACAAGGUAACC